rnacentral:tRNA from 2 species
GCUCCCAUCGUCUAGCGGUCUAGGACGCAGCCCUCUCAAGGCUGAGACACGGGUUCGAUUCCCGUUGGGAGCGCCA